rnacentral:snoRNA from 18 species
UCACCUGAUGAUCAAUUUUUUGCUUCGGCAAAGUUGGAAUUACCGACUGAGACUCAUGUCGCUGAAGAAGCAAACUGGCUGUUUCUGAUU